rnacentral:rRNA from 1 species
CCUACGGGCGGCAGCAGUGGGGGAUAUUGCACAAUGGGGGGAACCCUGAUGCAGCGACGCCGCGUGGGUGAUGGAGUGCUUCGGCAUGUAAAGCCCUAUCGGCAGGGAAGAAGCAAGACGGUACCUGACUAAGAAGCCCCGGCUAACUACGUGCCAGCAGCCGCGGUAAUACGUAGGGGGCGAGCGUUAUCCGGAGUCACUGGGUGUAAAGGGAGCGUAGACGGCGAUGCAAGCCAGGGGUGAAAGCCCGGGGCCCAACCCCGGGACUGCCCUUGGAACUGGGCGGCUAGAGUGCGGGAGGGGCAGGCGGAAUUCCUGGUGUAGCGGUGAAAUGCGUGGAUAGCAGGAGGAACACCGGCGGCGAAGGCGGCCUGCUGGACCGCGACUGACGUUGAGGCUCGAAAGCGUGGGGAGCGAACAGGAUUAGAUACCCCGGUAGUC